CCCAGGGACAUGACCGAUGGCUUCUGUCUCCGCGUGCUGAUGCUUUCCUUCGUUUCUGCUCUUCAGAGUGAGCACCGUGGGCCUGUGCCUGGCCCCCAGCCCCCCCCAGCCCUGGCUUCUCCCCCAAAAUAAUAAGAAAAAAAUUAAAAGAGGCAAAGCAGCGGGGCACUGCCGGGAUCACUGCCCCCUCCUCCUGCUUCCCAGCCAGCUCCCCGCCUUGAGACGUGGCCAAGGUAAUUCACGUCAAAACGCAGACAGGGCUGGGAGUCUGAGUGGAAAGGACUUUGUUUUGUUUUGUUUUGUUUUAAUUGAAUUUUUUUAAUUGCUUUUACCCCGAGCAUCCCUGGGCCGGUUCCGGCAGGGCCCAGCAGCUGAGCCGAGCGUCACCGCCUUCUCCCAGGAAAUGAGGAGCCGCGUGUGAGCACAAAGGGAAUUGAGAAUUGUUUGGGGCUUCUUUGGGAAACUCAACACAGCUGAAAAGUUCCCGGGUUUGUGACAGCUCCUCGGCCCCCCAGCUGGGGAUUCAGGGUGCAGAGCGUCCCCGCGGUGCUGCCCAAACCCCUCCGAAACCCCAAUCCCCAGGGGUCAGAGUGACGGCUCCCCGAGGAGCGCUGAUUAGGGCCGGAAGAUGCUCAGAAGUGCUUAAUGGGGCGGAAACCAGCAGCCCCCUGCACCUCCACCUCCCGUAACAAAGCCCUGGGGGUGCCGGGACCCCCCCGUGGCUGCCCCGGGACCCCGCGGCCGGCGGGGGGCUUCCCGCCCCGUGCAAGCUCUGCGUAAAAGGCCCUAUUGUCAAGCUGAGGAACUAAGAAAUAAAACAGGACCGAAUUGUGCGGAGGAGCCUUCGCCGGCUCAUAUUUUUCCUACGGAGCGGGCCGGGCGGUGGGGGCCCCGCAGGACGCGGCGCGGGCGCCUUAAUGCUGCAUUCAGCAGCGCUGGCCCCAUAAAGUCCCCUUGUAGGGCCCAGCGGGGCCGCGAUGAAUGGGGCCCUGUGGCCGUGCCGGGAGGUCUGGGGGUGGCAGAGAGCACGGCCCCGCUGCGGGGUUCCCCGUUCGUGAUGGGGAUGGGGAAUAAAAACCUAGGGGAGGGCUCGUCUCAGGCAGGAGGCGGCGUCCAGUGACAUCCCCAUGGGGCUGGGACUGGAGGAAGCUGCUGAAGGUGCCGUUCUUAUGAGUUUUUAAACCCCAGUGACAUUUCUCUAGGCAAUGCAGUGAGGAUGAACGGCUCGCCCCAGCAGGGCAGCAGCUGCCUCCUGCCCACAGCAAAUCCCAGCCCGGGGACACGGUGCCCCUAAACCCCACCCUGUGCCCCCAUCCCAACCCUGUCCCCAUAACAUGCCCCAGGGUGAGCCGAGGACACGCUGGCAGCCCGAAAUAGCCACCCUAUUUCCUGUCCUUUUAACAUUUGCUUAAAGAAAACCAAUUUCCUUCGGUCUUUGGGCAGCAGCACGCGAAGCACCGCACGGCCCCUGCUCGUGGGGAGCGCCCAGCCCCACAGCCAUGGGGACAGCGCAGGGGACUCGGUCCUGCCCAGCACCAACCUGCUGCAAGGGGGCAGGAGCAGCUCAGCACCACGCAGGGAGCACUCCCUGCUUCGUUAGCAAGUAAUUAAUGGCAUAACGCCCCCCUCCCCAGGGUUUAGAAGCUGGGGUAAAAUAGCAAGGACUGGGAUGUAGUCAGCUGUCCUGAGGCAAGCAUCAGGAGCUGGGUGUGAAUCACAGCAGCUCCCAGCCCCUGUGGCCUCGAGGAGAUUCCUCGUGCUGGUGCCCAGGGCUCUGGCAGCCCCCUGCUCCUGGGCUUUGGGGUUUUUGCUGCCUUUGAGCCCUUUUCUCUCUCCCCAGGCAAGGCAGGGCAAUGGGUGCUGCCGCUCUCCGCAGCUGCCCGCCUGUCCCACCAGGAGCAGAGCAAGGUUUUGCUGGCAGGAGUGUUGGGAAGGAGCAUUGAGAUUCCCAAAACUGUUUGAACUGACAUUGUCCUCUCAAAGAACACACCGAGGAUGGAUGAAGUCCAAGCUGUUUUACAGCCCCCGGGGGGGCUGCAGGGAUUGCUCAUGCAACUGCUGGGGCAGGGCUGAGCCAUCUCCGUGCGGGACAGCGCAGGGCCUGGGGCUCCACCAGCUGCUGGAGGGAUGGAGACAGGUAGGGCCGUGCCAGGAGGUUGAUGGAUAAAGGAUAAAUCCCGUGUCCCCCCCGUGGUGCUCACCAGGAGAUGAAUUUUAAUCAGCUGCUGCAAACCCCGAACGCGCCGCAGCCGAUGCAGGCGUGGGCUGUGAAUAAGGGGAGCCACCAACGCAGCGCCGCCGUGGGGAGGGAUCUGUUUAUUUUAAGAUACACUUUGUUUCCGAAGAAGGGUAUUUUAGCAGCCUGCAACAGAAACGUGAACCAGACGGUUAACCUGCCCGCUCGGCCUUGGCCAGCCUUGCCGAUGCUCACACAAGUUUCUCGGGAUAAAAAUAAUAAAAAAAAAAAAAGGUCCAAAAUCCAAACUGUACAACAGCUUUUUACAGGGCGCUUGGCCGGGCUCACUUUUUACACUGCUGUACAAGCUCGGGGUAACGAAGUGCAGUUGUGUUCAGAGCCAACGCGCCAUCCGAGGCCGCUAAUGAAGAUAAAAUAAAAGCUGCAGUGAGCGGAAGCUGAACAGAUACACGGGCAAAUUAAGCUUAUUGUGUUCCUGAUACUCCAGAGUGCAUUUACCAAGAGAAAGAGGAGCAGAACAAAGCCAGCUUUAAGCCUUCCUGGUCACAGGGCUCCCUUCUUGACACAUCAGGAAGCAUCUGUCAAACCGAGCGGCUUUGCUUUGUAUCAGCUCUGCCUCACAAUUGACUUCGCAACAGUGCAAUUAAACAGCUCACUGACUGAGGUUGUGCAACGUUAGUGGCUGAGAGAUUCAUUUUAGGAUCUCUCGCAGUAACACCACACCGCAAUAGCUCGG